rnacentral:rRNA from 1 species
CCUACGGGGGGCUGCAGUGAGGAAUAUUGGUCAAUGGACGAGAGUCUGAACCAGCCAAGUAGCGUGAAGGAUGACUGCCCUAUGGGUUGUAAACUUCUUUUAUAGGGGAAUAAAAUGUUCCACGUGUGGGAUUUUGUAUGUACCAUAUGAAUAAGGAUCGGCUAACUCCGUGCCAGCAGCCGCGGUAAUACGGAGGAUCCGAGCGUUAUCCGGAUUGAUUGGGUUUAAAGGGAGCGUAGGUUGAUUGUUAAGUCAGUUGUGAAAGUUUGCGGCUCAACCGUAAAAUUGCAGUUGAAACUGGCAGUCUUGCGUACAGUAGCGGUGGGCGGCUUUCGUGUUGUCGCGG